rnacentral:tRNA from 1 species
UUCCUGGUGGUCCAGUGGUUAAGACUCUGCACUUCCACUGCAGGGGGCACAGGUUCAUUCCUGGUUGGGGAG